AUACGUAGGUGACAAGCGUUAUCCGGAUUUACUGGGCGUAAAGGGCGUGUAGGCGGUCUUGCAAGUCAGAAGUGAAAUUCCUGAGCUCAACUCGGGCGCUGCUUCUGAAACUGCGGGACUUGAGUGCUGGAGGGGAUAGCGGAAUUCCUAGUGGAGCGGUAAAAUGCGCAGAUAUUAGGAAGAACACCGGUGGCGAAGGCGGCUAUCUGGACAGUAACGGACGCUGAGGCGCGAAAGCGUGGGGAGCAAACAGGAUUAGAUACCCUGGUAGUCCACGCUGUAAACGAUGAAUACUAGGUGUAGGGGGUAUCGACUCCCUCUGUGCCGCAGUUAACACAAUAAGUAUUCCGCCUGGGGAGUACGGCCGCAAGGUUGAAACUCAAAUGAAUUGACGGGG
rnacentral:rRNA from 1 species